GUUUAUGGCCAUGUCACCCUGAACAAGCCCGAUCCUGUAUGAUCUCGGAAGCUAAGCAGGGUCAGGCCUGGUUAGUACUUAGAUGGGAGACUACGUAGGAAGACCAGAUGCUAUAGGUG
rnacentral:rRNA from 1 species